rnacentral:lncRNA from 1 species
CAGUUUGCUACCUGAAUUCAGAAGUCCAUGGGGAGCUCUUCUACUUUUGUUCUCGCUUCUUCUGUCCAGAGGCCUUGUGAGUAUUUAUUUGAUUCCUGUCGCUUGUGGGGAGUGUCAUGUCCUGCAUGCUCUACCACUCAAGGGGUUUGGCUGAUGUAAAAAUAUAUAUAUAUAUAUAUAUAUAUAUAUAUAUAUAUAUAUAUUGGGUCUAAUUGCUUACACUCUUGGACUUGGGGUAAUGCCUUUUAUUUUGUUUUUUUAUGUUUUUUUGUUUUUAUAUCUUGGGUUUUCCUGUGGUUCUUGGCUGCUUCUGACUACGGGUUUGGUACCAGGACUUGGUUUACUCUGACAGGGAUGAUCCAGUUCAGCCCAUGGUGACAUCUCCAUUUGGUCAUGCCUCUCAGGUAUCCUGCUCAUUAUUAUUUCUCUAUUCACGUACAUUUGUAUUACUUCCAUUAAACUGUUGAUCAUGUCUUACAAUAAUUUGAACUUCAGCAUUGUUGUGUAGGACGCUAGUUUUAGCAUAGUACAUAAUUGCUGUUGUCUCAUGCAAGUUAGAGUGGCAAAAAAAAAAAAAAAAGAAAAAAAAGAGAAGAGAGUAUCGAAUGCGAACUUUUUGGGAACACUUGUAUUUGGUGACUUAUUUGCAUGACUGCAUAAUCUGAGUAGCUUUCAUCAUAGUUGCCAUAGGGUGUGCAUCAUGCUGAUGUUCUGUGUGGACUGG